rnacentral:lncRNA from 1 species
UUCUUUUUUGUAGGUUGAAAACUACAGGCACAAGCCAUGGAAGCUGGAAUACUCUAAUGCUGGUAUUUUAACUGAUUUAUCCCAACUCUGCAGUUUACAACAUACACAUGCCUCUAAUGAGGUCAGAUAUUCUUUCACUUGUAGCAACCAUGCAUCCAGUGCAGGACAGCGCUGGCAGUGAGGGCAGCACAGCAGGUGUUCGAUUUCUCAUCUUGUCAUUUAGUUCUUACAACUUUGUGAAGGUGACGCUGUGCUCUCAUCUUACAGAUGAAGCAACCACAGGUUAGGUACUGACUCAAGCUCCUGUCACAUGUGUAGCCCUGAACACGGAUCCUCAUGUAACUUUCUGGCUAUGUGACCUCUUGGAAAGUUACUUCCCUCUCUUGGCAUUUCAUGUUGUAGUGUCACCGUAGAAAUGCUGAAACAGAUGAGGCCAGUUUGGUCAGGGGAGAGCACAGAGGUAUUAAGAAUAUAAGCUCUUCAUAGUAUUUAGUUACAUUGAACCUACAGAAGUUGCAAUUUGGCACAAAGGGAGCAUCUGUCAGCAUGUUAGGUGGUUUUGAUGAAUGAGCAGAACGGCUAUGAAGGGGGAAUUUAAAGGGCAGGACGGUGCUAGAUUGUUAGAACGUGAAAGUAUUGGACUGGAGUGAUGGGGGAAGGUUUUGUAUGGGGAGAAAUGUAACUGUAGCAAGAUGAACAGAGCCUAGUAUCAGCUAGUUCUUCCUUCUGACCUGCCCUGAUUGUCUGUAAAUACCUCGUUUUCCAGUAAUUUUAAAUAAAGAUAAUUAAUAUUCACCUUGGAGUAUUUUUUUUUUUUUUUUUUGAGGGGCAGAUGGGGAGAGAUUCUCAAGCACUUUCCAUGCUUAGCUCGGAUCUCCACGCGGGGCUUGAUCCCACAGCCCUGGGCCGAAAUCAAGAGUUGGAUGCUGAACCCACUGAGCCACCCCGGCAUCCCCACCUUGGAAUCCCUCUUAAUGCUUAUUUCAUAACACUGUUGAAGCCUUUGUAUCUAAAUUGCAUUUUUUAAUAUUACCUAUUACAUUGUAAAACCCAGCCUUGUGAUUUUUAGGUAAUUUACACAACAAAUGUGUUAGAAGGCCAAAAUUGCUAGAGGGGAAAAAGUGGGAGGAGGGAUAGGAAGUACAUGUAUUUGCACUGACUGGAGGACAUUUAUAAGUUCAGACAGGGCUGGCCAGGGAGUGCUGAUGAUAAAAAACCUGAAGGAGAUGAUGUGGGUGUGUGUGUGUAGUUGGGUGAAAAAUGUAAGCAGUCUUAAGCCAGGCAGUGAAACAGUGCGGAAAAAUAGGGAACUCAUUUUUUUUAAGGUGCCACAGAGACCAGGAUUUAGAACUAUAGACACUGUCCGGUGUGAUAGCCAUUAGUCACAUGGGGCUAUUUAAAUUUAAAUCAAAACAAUAAAAUGAAAAAUGUGGCUCCUCAGUUGUGUCAGCCACAUUUCAAAUGCUCAGUAGUCACAAGUGGCUAGAAGCUACUGUACAACAGAUACAGAAUAUACCCAUCACUACAGAAAGUUUCAUUGGCAGUACUGUUCUAGAGGUUAUAGGGUGUUUUACAGAAGAGAAAAAUCUAUGGGAUAGUGGACUGAAGAAUGACUCCCAAAGAUAAUCGAGUCCUAAUCUCAAACCUGUAAAUGUUACUGUAUUUGGAAAAGGUGAUUUGCAGAUGUGAUUAGAUUAGGAAUCUGGAGAUGGGAAGAUUAUCCUAGAUCAUCUGUGAGCCCUAAAUCUAAUCACAAAUGGCCUUUGUAAGAGGGAGGCAGAAGAUUCCAUGCUCAGAAGGAGGAGGCUGUGUGAAGACAAGUAGAAAGAGAUAAGGGACGCCUGGGUGGCUCAGUUGGUUAAGCAACUGACUGGCUCAGGUCAUGAUCUCACGGUUUGUGGGUUUAAGCCCCACCUCGGCUCUGUGCUGACAGCUCAGAGCCUGGAGCCUGCUUCGGAUUCUGUGUCUCCCUCUCUCUGCCCCUUCCCUGCUCACUCUCUCUCAAAAAAUAAAUAUUUAAAAAAAAUUUUUUUAAAAAGAUCUGAUUUUGGCCUUGAAGAUGAUGUAGAUACAACUUCAGGCUAGGUAAGGCUGGCAGCCGCCAGAAACUGGGAGACUCAAGGAACUGACCCCCUCCUCCCCAGAGCAUAUACUUGAUUUCUGGGGCUCAAAAACUGACAGAAUAAACUUCUGUUGUUCUAAGCCACUGAGCUUGUAAUUGCUUGCAGUAGCUAGCCUCUGGUAACUAAUACUUUAGACUGAAAGCUUCAGAUCACAAGUGUAGCUGGAGCUGGAACCUCACCACAUUGCCUCCUAUGCUGUGUUUUUAUUAUGGGUUAUGGGUCUGCGGGUCAGGGGGGUUAGAUCUUAUCUAUCCAUUAGUCGAUUUUUUAAAAAUUUGAGGUAUGGCAAUGAAGUUAAACUUUAUUUAGAUUAAAACCAUUAGAGACAUGAGCAGGUGGCUAAAGUAUGGAGGAUUAGCAAAUGCCUCAUAAAACAACACCGAUGAUCAACACUAAUAUAAAAAAAUCAAUUUAUGGUUUAUUGGGACGUCAGUUACUUAUGUACAUUUUCAGUAAAUUUCAUUUACACAGUACAAAGCACCUCCAAAGAUCAAGCUGUAACAAAGUCAGUAAUAAAAAAUUAAGACAAUAUGAAAAAGAUCAUUCUAAUUUUUGCCUUGUGGGCCACACAGCUUUGACCAGCAGGGUCCCAGAGGUAAUAUAGACCAUUAAAAUGAGACCAUUUUUCCAUAACAACCUCAAGUAGUUUUGGCUCAUGUUCCACAAAAUGUAAAUUUGGAUUUCUGGGAGUCUUUUAAAACAGCAACAAAAAACCCUUAAUAGUAUAACUAAUAAAACUAGUCUUUUCAGAGUCACUGCCAUGGGGCUCUGACUUAAGUCCUAUAUGUUGCCAUUUGGUACAUCUAAGUUGCUACAAUACCAAUACUGAAUGAUGACCGUGUCCUACUGGAGACUAGAAAGGAAACUGGGGCAAAAACAAGUUUCUCAAUGAGAAAUUCAUCCUGUUGUACUCAAAAUCUCUUCUUAUGGGAAGGAACAACAUGUGAUUCAAGUAGCUCUUUAAAAUGCUAAUGUUAAUGGACAAAAAUAACUGAAAUUGUUUUCUAGGUUUAUCAAAAUUUCUUUUAUGUGAAAUCAUUUUUCACCUAUUAUUUUGUAUCUCAUUCUGACAUGAAUUACCAAUGCUUUUCUAUUAAUGUGUCAGCAAAGCUACCAUUUGACUUGACCAUAAAUGUACUUAAAGCUAUUUGUAGCCAACUGAAUAUCCAAGAUCGUACCUUCCCUGUGAUGAAUGCUUAUUAGAGCUGAAGCUUAGGAUAUGACCCCACACUCAGUAGCACACGUAGACAAUGUGAAGGUCAGAAUGCAGUUCCUUGUUGUUGAUGAAGAGAUUGUGUAUGUUGUUAUUCACACGUUGCUAAUUGCAGUCAUGCCUUUCAAAACUCGAAGCAUGGAAUCUCGUUCUCCUGGUGAAAGAAGUUAGGAACAAAAUUGAACUCUAUUUGUCUCCCCUUCAUGCCAAAUUCCAGACCCAAACAGUUUAUAUAUAAGAAUCCAUUUGAAACUAAAAUUUAGAUUACAUAAAGAAUAGAAAGUUUUGUGGGCUUUUGACCAAAAUCAGGUCCUGAUUUGGGGGUGGGGGGAGUGGAAGGGAAGAGUAUAUUUUUACUAAAACUGCCCACUAUUCCUACAGCCUCUUCUGUUUCAUUCUUGCUGACAGAUUUGAAUUCCAGUUUCCAACAUCUGACCUCAAUCUCCCACCACAAAAAUUCCAUUAUUACAAGUCUGAAUAUUUCUGCCUAAAGAUGGCCAUUCUUUUCUUAUCGUUGUUGAAAUAGUACCACAAAGGGGCACCUGGGAGGCUCAGGUGGUUGAGCAUCCGACUUCAACUAAGAUUAUGAUCUCAUGGUUCGUGAAUUCAAGUCCCGCAUCGGGCUCACUGCUGUCAGUGCAGAGCCCGCUUUGCAUCCUCUGUCCCCCCAUUGUCUCUUUGUCCCGCUCACACUCUCUCCCUCAAAAAUAAAUAAACAUUAAAAAAAUAACAUGAAGUAUUUCCAUACAGAGUAACACUGAUGUCCAGCUCCUUGUUGAAAGUUUAACUGCCCAGACUGUAGGUAACCUACUGAUUAUUCAAAUGAGCUCACCCUGAAAAGACAAGGUAGAAAUUUAGGUACUGCGGUAACAGAGGGCCAGGUUCCCAAUAAACCUCUAGGCUCCACGCUCUCUCCUUUGUCACACUCAACUCCACAGGUUUGACUCUGCUCAAAUCAUGUACCUACAAAGCCAACGGAACACGUUUGAAAAAGCUCAGCUCACUUGAGAUUCAGAUACAAGUUACUCCAAGACCAGUGAAACUAAACUGUAUGUAGGAUUGUGCCCUGAAUAUAUACCCAAGUGUCAGGUUCAUGUGCAGCUCUGUUAUCGUUUGGCCUCAGCAGGGUCCUGAACCACAACAGAAUGAGAUAUAAUCCUCCUAGAAACUUUCCUCAUGUGCAAGUUUUCUUUCAGCAUGAGUUUGUUUCUUAGUCUACAUUUCACUUUUCAGCUAUCUGAGCCAACCCGAUUUCUGACCUUCUCAAUGUUUUCCUGUGUUCUGUGGAUAACUGGACAGCCACUUUUCACAUCACCAUGGAUAUCAUCUCUGCCUUCUUUAAACCUUUUGUGCCAGUCAAAAACUCUUGCUCUCGACAUUACUUCUUCACCAUAAACUACUUUUAACAUCUCAAGUGUCUCACUUGCAGAUUUAUUUAACUUUACACACAACUUAACAUGAAUUCGUUGCUCUAAAUAACGGUCACUCAUUUUGAUGGUGGAAAAAAGAAUAAUUCUAUUCACAUGUACUCACAAGGUUAGUGGGCAACCUGGAAAGCACUGCUGUGCCAGCUAAACACGUACCUGGGCAAUAGUCACUCCUCCUGUGAUUUCACAAGCCACACAUGGAAAAACAGUCCAAACAGAAGAGUGCAAACAAGCUUUGGAGGAGUUGAUGAAGGUUUCGGCAUCGUAUACAUACCAUCUCAGCUUGAACACCUUGUAUUUUCCCAUAUACAAAAGGGGAGAAAAUAAAUCAGCAUUUUCUUACUUGUCGAAUGGCUAAGAAAAUGGUAUUUGAAAUAUAUGAACUAUGCGCAGGGAGCAUUUAGCCUCCCCACCUCCCAAAAAAACCCCUAAGGUAAAAUCCAUCCGAAUAACAGUAUGGAAGAUGCCAUUUGUCUUGGCUGUAUGUUUAGAAAGAGCCAGUUUGAAAUUGUGGGGCUUUUUUGUUUGUUUUUAACACUUUAUUUUUUUAAGUUUAUUUAUUUUGAGUGUGAGCAGGGAAGAAGGGCAGAGGGAAAGAGAGGAUCUUAAGCAGGCUCCACACUCAGCCCAGGGCCUGAUGUGGGGCUUGAUCUCAUGACCAUGGGAUCAUGACCUGAGCUGAAACCAAGAGUCAGACACUUAACCAACUGAGCCACCCAGGUGCCCUGAAAUUAUGGUUUUUCUAAUGAUGUUGAUUGAUAGGUCAAAUGUAAGAUAUCAAAAUAGUUUAUUUCCAACUACAUAACGAGAAUAGAUUUGGUUGUCUCCAGUGUGUAUAAUACAAUGUAUGUAGUUGAGUGUUUAGGAAUUCUAACAUUUAAACAUCGUUACCUAUAUUCAUCCUGCACAUACUAUCUAGUGUAUUCAGAAUUUAAAACAAACACACAUACACUGAAAAACAGCAUCUUGUAAGCUUUGAACAUGAAUUUCUCUCAUUUAGUUCUCAAAUCAAAACUUGAAAAGGUUUUCACAAAUUAUGUUUGUACAACCCAAAUGCUGGAAUUAAAGUUAUCCAAUGAUUGGUUGCAAAUAUAGAUUGUAUUUGAUGAGUUCUGUGUGUGUGUGUGUGUGUGUGUAUGGUGAAAUAUACAGUCCAUACACCAUUUUUAAGUGUGUAAUUCAGAGGCGUUACUUACAUUCAUAAUGUUGUACAACCAUCACAUUUCCAGGACGUUUCCAUCAUCCCAAACAAAUUCUGUACCUAUUAAAUAGUAACUCCCCAUUCUCUCCUCUCCCUGGACCCUGGUAAACUCUGUUUCACUUUUUGUCUCUAUGAACUUGACUAAGUUCCUCAUAUCGGUGGAAUCAUACAGUAUUUGUCUUUGUGUCUGGCUUAUUUCACUUAACAUGUUUUCAAGAUUCUCCUAUGUUGUAGCAGGUAUUACUGACUCCUUAAGGUUGACUAAAUACUCCAUUGCAUGUACAUACCACAUUUUGUUUAUCCAUUCCUUUCUACAUUUACUUGGGUUGUUUCUACCCUUUGGCUAUUGGAAACAAUGUUACUGUGAACAUGGAUGUACCAGUAACUGAGUGUCUGCUUUCAGUGGAUCAUAUGGUAACUCUGUGUUUCAUUUUCUGAGAAAUCAUCAAACUUUUUCAAAGCAACUACACCAUUUUGCAUGCCCACAAGCAAUGCACAAGGGUUCCAGUUCCUCCAUAUCCUCACCAACACUUAUUUUCUACAAACUUUCACACCGGUGGAUGAAAAUCCCGGUAUGUACAGGGUUAAGUAUUUGCUUCCCAAUCCUCCUUUGCCUCCCCAUCUCCCCAGGCCCCCCGCUUUUUGGCAGUGCUUUUCCUUCAGUGAAAACACAGAUAAUGUUGUGGUUUUUGACAAGCACAAGAAUUCAAUAAAUACUCAUAUGCUCCUUUACUGGAGGAAUCCGCAUUACCUUUUUGGGAGGUGAAUAGAGCUGUUUUAAGUGUCUGCAUUAGAAAUGAAGUUCAAAAUGUAAGUGUGACUCCACUUGAACUCUGUAAAUUAGCAGAAAAAGCACGUGUUAAAAACUGGCUGGGACACUUAAGUAAGGCGGUUAAACCCUAGAAAUAUAGUAUACUGUACUGUACUCCAUGAAUUAAAAAGGGCGUUAGCAUUAGAACCACAAGUUCACCCACUAUUUUUAAUCCAAAUGUUCUUUUCAAGGUUGCACACCCUUCCACAUAGGUGGAAUGAGUCAGUACCUGGCAAGGCUUAAUCGGGUCUCGCUUUCCUACCACGGGGUCCUUCUGCCAAGUGGCAGCAGAGCGUCUCUGCCAGCCCAUCUCCGCUCCUGCGGAGGAGAAGGCAGGUAAAGGUCCAGCCCGAGAACCCAAUGCCCGGGCCGCGCCUCACCUGGGCCUCGGGCUCCAGGGUGGGAGGAGACGCAGCUCCCAGCCUGCGCCUCGUCAAGGUCCCUGGCCGUACCCACGACACCAGACAGCCCCCCACUCAGCCUCGACCCGGCAAAAGGCUCCAAGGGUCGGAGGAGCCAGACCAAUUGACAAAGCACCGCCGAAAACCGAGACUCUCGCGAGACACAAGACUACUGGGAGGUUCGUCGUGCCAAUCAGCGGAUGGGGGCGGUCCCAGAGCGCGUUCAAUUGGCUAACCAUGGGAAAGCUCGCGUUCCAUUGGCAUCUUUUCUGGCCCCAACUCCACCCCUCGACCGGAAUGCCCGCCCCCUUCAAUGGCCCCACCUCUGAGCUGAGUGGGUAGGGAGGAGGGGAAACGCCUACAGUAGCGGUGGGUUCCAGGUGCUGGAGCUCAGGCGCCCGAAUGGUCCUAACCCUUUACCUGGGGCACCAUAGGAACAGGCCACGCUCAGGUUCUGACAUGUUCCGUGGUAUUCCUUACCUCGGCCAUUUACUCUGUAUUCCACACUAUCCGGUCUUAGGCAGGGAGGUGAUUUUACCUGUGCUUGAAAGAAGGCAAGGUUGCAUGGACUAAUUAAGAUGUUUCCCUUAAAGCUUUCUAAUCCGAAUACCUUAUAUCUUGCUCUGCAUGGUAUGCAAGGAGCAUUGAUUUGUUUGUUUGAUUUGGAACAAUAAUUAAACCCAUUGUGCCUUCCCAUUAACUCAUCAGAAGAGCCCCAGUGAAGUAGGUGCUAUUACUGUCCUUGUCAGCCCUAUUGCCCUACUUUAAUUCACGCCUUCAUAAUUGCUUGCCUGGAUUACUUCUACAAACAGCCCCUUAGCUCCUCUCCUUGCUAUCUACAAAGCCGAGGAUUAAACUUUCUUUUUUUUAAUUUUUUUUUUUUUAACGUUUAUUUAUUUUUGAGACAGAGAGAGACAGCAUGAACGGGGGAGGGUCAGAGAGAGGGAGACACAGAAUCCGAAACAGGCUCCAGGCUCUGAGCUGUCAGCACAGAGCCCGACGCGGGGCUCGAACUCACAGACCGCAAGAUCAUGACCUGAGCCGAAGUCAGCUGCUUAACCGACUGAGCCACCCAGGCGCCCCUAAACUUUCUAAUGCAAAUCUAAUCAUGUCUCAAAUCCUUCUCAGGUCUCUCAAAUGUCAAUCCUUCUGUGGCCCUGUGUUGUCCACAGGUUCUGGCAGAAGCUGCUUUUUAUCAAAAUAUGACAUAUCUAUGGUAAGUACACAAGUCAUAAAUGUGCAGCCUGCUAAAAUUUCACAAAUAGAUCACACUAGCAGCCAGCUCAAGAAACAACGUAACCAGCAUCCCAGAAGUGUUUCUAAUCACUAACCACUUCCUUCCCUGCUCAGAGUUAUCCACUAUCCUUAGAAUUGUUCAAGUGGUCAGUAGAGUAGCAUCCUUGUGUUUGUACAUUAUACAAAGGGGUCCAUUACAGCAUGUAAUCUUUUAUGUCUAGUUUCUUUAACUCACUUUUAUGUUCAUCAGGUUCAUCCAUACGUUAACUACAUUUAUAGUUUGUUCAUGAGGAUGCUGUAUUGCAUUUCACUGUAUGAAUACCCCACAAUUUGCCCAAUCAAUUGUUGAUAGACAUUGGAAUAGUGUAUAUUUUGGCGCUAUUAAAAAUAUUGCUGCUAUGGACAUUGUAAUAGAAAUCUUUUGAUGAACAUGAUGAAUGCAUUACUCUUGGAUAUAUACCUAGAAAUGGAAAUGUUGGGCCAUAGGUUGUGCCGUGUUCAAAUUUAGAUAUUUUUAAACUUUUCCAAAGUACACCAAUUACAUUCCUAUCAGCAAAAUAUGACAGUUCCAUCUUUUCCACAUUCUCAUCAACACUUGGUAUUUUUCAUCUUUUUUCAUUUUGGCAAUUUUGGUGGAUGAUAAUCAUGUCUCAUGCGAGUUUAAUGUGCAUCUCCCUGAUGAUUAAGGAGGUUGAGCACCUUUACAUAUGUUUAUUAGUUGUUUAUAAUUUUAUGAAGUGUCUGUUAAAAUUUUACUCAUUUUUGUCAGCUGAGUGUCUUUUUUAUUUGUAUUUUUCCUAACGUUUGCUUACAAAAAAUUUCAAAUACUUAGCAAAGUUUAAAGAAUUUUACAGUGAACAUACAUAAAUCUGCCAUAUAGAUUCUAUGAAUAUGCUUUAUUACAUUUUUUAUGAAACAUGCUUUAUUACAUUUCUAUCCUUUAUCCAUCUGAAUGUUGUUGCAUUUCAAAGUAAAUUGCAGAUACCAAUACAUGUCCUCUAAAUACUUUAGCCUGUAUAUCACUUAGGUGAAAUUAAAUUCACAAAUCUUUAUUGUAUAUUUGCUGAGUUUUGAGCAAGUGAGUCUUGAGUUCUAUGCCUCCUCCCAGUCAAUCUUCAUUUCCACUUUCCUGGGAACAACUUCCAUUCUGAUUUAUUCUCCACUAUAUAGCUUUAUGUGUUUCAAAAUUUCAUAAUCCUGGAAUUGAACAGUGUGUACUCCUGUGUAAGCCUGCUUUCACUCAGCAUACUGUAUUUCUCAUUCCAUGUUGUUGCAUACGUCAGUAAUCUAUUUAAUUGCUGAGUGGUAUUCCACUGGGCACAUAUACCACAGUCUGUUGAUAUGUAAGCGGUUUUCUUGUAUGCAUCCUUUGUCAGGUAUAUGUGUUGCAAAUCUCUUCUUCAAUUCUGGGUUUCUUUUCAUUCUUUUAGUAAAUGAAGUCUUUUGAGAAAUAAACAAGUUCUUCAUUGUAAUCUUCCAGUUUGUUGAUUUCUAUGUUGACUGUUUCUGAUGUUAAGAAGUCUUUGCUUACUCUAGGUCAUUAAGAUUUCUCCUGUGUUUUCUUCUAAAUAUUUUACUAUUUUAAUUUGCCCAUUAAGAACAGUAAACUAUUUGGAAUUGACUGUUGUAAGUGGUGGGAUUUAGAAGUAGAUCCAGAUGCUUUUUCUUCCAUGUGGAUAUCCAAUUAAUCCAACGUGUUAAUUUAAAAGAUCAUUUUCGGGGCGCCUGGGUGGCUCAGUCGGCUGGGCAUCCGACUUCGGCUCAGGUCAUGAUCUCGCGGUCCGUGAGUUCGAGCCCCGCGUCGGGCUCUGGGCUGACCGCUCAGAGCCUGGAGCCUGCUUCGGAUUCUGUGUCUCCCUCUCUCUCUGCCCCUCCCCCGUUCAUGCUCUGUCUCUCUCUGUCUCAAAAAUAAAUAAACGUUAAAAAAAAUUAAAAAAAAAAAAGAUCAUUUUCCCCACUUGCAGUGUCAUAAAUCAGGUAGCCAUGUGUAGACCUAUUUUGCACUGCUAUUGUGUUUGAUCCAUUUGCUUUGUCUAUCUUUGCAUCAAGACCACCCAGUCUUCAUUACUAUUUGCUGUAUAAUGACCCUUUAUAGUACAUCACUGAACUGAAAUUUCGAUUUAAUUAAAUUUGAUCUAAAUAACCAUGAGGCUAGUGACCACCAAAUUGGACAGCACAGAUACAGAACACUUCCAUCCCCAUGGGAGGUCCUGUUGAUAGUACUGCUUUGGAAGACAUCUAGAGCCCAAUACCAGAUCCUUCGUAUCAGACAGGCGAUUUUGAGUUUAUUGCUGAACUGCUCUUCAAAAAUAUCUGUGUAUAAUCGCAUUUGAGAAAUUCAAAACACAUCUUCCCACAUGUAGGUAAGACACCCAGCUCUUUUGACCUUGCACUUUCAGCGAUGAAAAUAUGCUUUGGGAGACAUUUCCUAUGAUGAGACACCGUAAAAUAUGUAGCCCCAAAUCAUAUGAAAAGAUGCCUGCUGUAGUACCAUUACAUGUAGUUUACUAUCUGUUCUGGUCCAAGGUCACACUUAAUUCUCUUUUGGAGGUCUUUUCUGGGCCGUCACAGCUGUGUUUGAGAGAGUUUGCCCUUACACCUGCCAUCAGAAGGCUGAGUCAGAUCCGGCUCCUGUGUGUAAGGAAUUCCUCAAACCAUUUUGUCCUGUUUAUUCCACCAGUCUUGUGACAUAAAAUGAUGCACAUGUACUUAUUAUGUACUUCAGGUGUUACUUUUUACAGUAGAUGUAUUUAUUUCUCCCUACAAUGCUUAAAUUUGAAAACUUUCUUUUUUAAUGUCUUUUAUAGUACUGUGAUGGCUAUUUUAUUUUAUUUUUUUAAUGUUUAUUUAUUUAUUGAGAGAGAGAGAGAGAGAGAGAGAGAAUGUGUGCGUGAGCAGGGGAGGGACAGAGAGAGAGAGAGAGAGAGAGAGAGAAUCCCAGGCAGGCUCUGUGCUGACAGUUCAAUGCAGGGCUCGAACUCACGACCCAUGAGAUCAUGACCUGAGCUGAAAUCAAGAGUUGGACCCUGAACUGACUGAGCCACCCAGGUGCCUCCUGUGAUGGUUAUUUUAAUUUGUCUUCAAUUUCCAGACUUGAGUAUAGCACAGGGCUUUACUGGCAGUCUACAUUUCCACUGGGGCAACGAGUAUUUAUGGAGCACCUACUCUGCGAGGUGCCCUGAGAGAGGCCCUGGAGAGACACUACGAUGAAUAAUAGAUAAUAGUUACCACUGAGCAUCUAUGAGAGCUCUCACACUUGCAUUUGUUAUUUUUAAUGAUCAUAACAAUACUAUAAGGUAAAUACUGUUACCUCAUUUUUCAGGCGAUAAAGCUAAGGUUUUGGGAGGUCAAAUUUCUGCAGCCAGUAGGUGCUAGAGCUGAGAUUUAAGCUUUGAAUCCCUAACCUCUCUCCCACCUCUGUGAGACCCUUCAGACUUCAAAGGAGAUUUGUUUCCUCUCAAGGAACACCUUGUCUUGUAAAGGAGACAAACAUGAUAACCACAACCCACAGGAGAACAGACAUUACAAAAGGCAGGGGGAUGUACAUGUAGUCAACCUGUGGGAAAUGAGCCACAUUGCCCAGCAACUUGGUCUUGUGAAUGUGUCCUGAAAUCUCUUCUUCUUCCUGAACUCCUUCUAGAAUGAUCUGAGAAGUAACAUUUCCUCUCCCUGUCUUCAUCCUGCAGCCAAGCUAUUCUCUGACCCUACGUCUGAGGAAGAGGCACUGCUAACAAAUGGUCAGUGCCCUCUUUAGGAGUACAACACUCCAAUGAUCGCUCAGAACCAGAAUCUGUUAGCACCUCCAGAGCAAACCUCUGAGUCAAUGUGGAAAAAGGACCCGCAAGGAUGGGCCCUUAAAGGAGAUUCUGCCUCUGAACGUAGUGGCUGUGUCUCUAGUGCUAUCUUGGACCAUAAGGAUAAGGACCACAUCCUAGGUGUUAUGGGUUGAAUUCUGUCCAUCCCCUGCUCCCCAUAUUUAUAUGUUGAAGUCCCAACCUCCAGUAUCUUAGAAUGUGACCUUAUUUGGAAUGUGAUCUUACAGGGUCAUUGCAGAUGUAAAUUGGUUAAGAUGAGGUCGUACUGAAGUAUCAUCCUAAUCUAAUAUGACUGGUGUACUUAUAUAAAAGGGAAAUUUGGACACAGAGACAUACACACACAGGGAGAACACUAUAUGAACACGAAGAUGAAGGCAGAGGUGCCUCUACAAACCAAGGAACGCCACCGGAUCCACCGGAAGCUGUGGGAGAGGCCUAGAACAGAUUCGUCCUUAUAGUCCUCAGAAGAAACUGACCCUGUCAGCCCCUUCAUCCUGGGUGUCUGGCCACCAGAACUGUGAGACAAGAAAUUUCUGUUGUUUAAGCCACCCAGUUUGUGGUACUUUUUUAUGACAGCCCUAACAAAUAAAUACACUAGGGAUGGCAAAGAAAUGAGGUGGAAGGAAUCUGAGCCCCCGAGGCGCUUUAGGGAGCACAAUCCCCACCAGCCUCGGUGUCUAUAAUCAUCUGCCUUGUUUUAGGCACAUACUGGCUGUGUCUUAUCUGCAUUAAAGCCAAUACUAAUUGACAUUCAGGAUAAAGUCCAAACUCCUUAUCAUGACCUACCAGGCCCAUCAAGGUUUGGCCCCCUCCUUCUCUCCUGCCUUGCCCCUUCUGACCCCACACAUUCAGUCAUAUAGCACUACUGUCCUCCCAGAUCCCCCUCUUAACCUCUUUCCUCUGUGCGUGCUUCCUCCUCUCCUCGUAGUAGCUUUCUCACCCCUUUCUCUCUGCCUGUGUUCUUUCUUAUCCUUCUUGGCUUGGCCAUCUCUUUACUUAGGUUUCACAUCCUCUGGAAUUCCUUCCUGGACCUCCCUGGGGUCAGUUUCUGAUCUCAUGCUCCCAGUGCUUCCUGUUAUCACAAUGUAGAUCCGUUAUGUUGUAGACUGUGAACUACUUUUGGAGUUCGGUGCCUGGCCCAUCAUAAAUACUCAUUAAAUUUUGUUCAAUGGUGAAGGAUCACUAAGAGUUUUCCUCAUUCUAUCGAUGGGAUGAUGUGUUCCAAAUCUCUAAAAAACAAACUUAUGUAGAUUUUUUUUUUUUUUUUUUUUGAAGAGCAGACCAACAAUAAACUCAAGAUGGCUAUGAAAUGAAGCAUCUGGGAUUGGCCCUUUUUUUUUUUUUCCAUUUUAGUCAUGAGUAGCUUGAAACAUUUUUUUUUAAUUAUUUAAGUAUAGUUGACAUACAAUGUUGUAUUAGUUUGGGGUGCACAACAUAGUGGUUCAACAAUUCUAUACAUUCUACGGUGCUCACCGCGGCAAGUGUAUGUACCAUCUGUCACCACACAUUAUCACAAUAUUAUUGACUAUAUUCCCUAUGCUGUACUUUUCAUCUCUGUGACUUAUUUAUUUUAUAACUGAUAUUGGCUUUCAGAUGACUUGUAAAGCAGUGGGGUCUAUAGAACUUAUUGUGAGUUUGGAAAUGUACUGUCCAAUAUGGUAGCCACUAUCCACGUGGCCAAUAAAAUCAAAUUUCAUUCCAUUCAAGGUGCAGUUUCUCAAUAUGGUAGGUUGAAUAAUGACUUCCAAACAUAUCCACCUCCUAAUCUCCAGAACCUGUGAACUUUGUGUGGUAAAAGGGACUUUGCAGAUGUGGCUAAACUAAAAAUCUUGAGAUGGAGAAAUGAUCCUGGCUGAUCUGAGUGGACCCUAAAUGUAAUUACAGGUGUCUUUAUAAGAAGGAGACACAGAGCGACUGGACAGCCAAACAGAAGAAAAUAGCGCUCCAGCUGAGGCUAUGCUGCUGGCUUUGAAGAUGGAGGAAGCACUGCAGGGAAGGAAGCUUUGGAAGCUGGAAAAGGCAACGAAAUGGGUUUUUCCCUAGAGCCAACAAAAGACGUGUGCCCUGCAGACAGCUUAGUGUUAGCCCGUGAAACUGAUUUCAAACUGUAAGACAAUAAACAUGCAUUGUUUUAAGCUCUUGCGUGUGUGGUAUUUUCUUACAGCAGUUGUAGGAAAUUCAUACACACAGUGGCACUAGCCACAUUUCAGGCGCACGCUGCUGGACAGUGCAGUUCUAGAAUCCUCUGCUUGGUGAGGAAGUAUCUAUGAUAGAUCUAGACACUGCAUCUUUCAAAAUUUAGAAAUUCUAAAUAUUAGUGAUUUGCUACUUGUAUCCAACAUGGGUUUGGGAUGCGAUUCUUUUGCAUAGGAAAACCAAGCCAAGAAAGCUCACGUAUCUUCUGUUGAAGCACAUCAUAACUACUGUCAAUCAAAGCCUGUCUCUGAUAUUGUGAUCCGUUUCCUUCAGUCGAGGCCAUUUCUAAAUGGCCUCGUUUACCUCAUGAAAAUUGACAGCAAUCAGAGAUGCUUCCAUUCAAUUCAUCUUUCUCUUUGGAACACUAAAAGCAUUAUCAAGUCCGAUACAAAUGAUACCCCUCUUGAUAAACGUCUCACUUAAUAAAAAUGGUGGGUUUGAUGUCUCGGUUUUGUUUGGUCCAUGUGCAGUCCAGGCGGGAGCCUCUGAUCUUUGCUUCAAAAGGUCCCACACGAUAGGCCACCCAGUGCUGUGCUGCCGGUUUCAGCAUCAUGCCUCCACCUGUCUGCACGCGUGGGAAGGUUUUAUGACAGCCAACUGUUAAGAAAGUAAGGGGCAAACUUCUUUGAAAAUGGUGUGCGUGGAGGGGGGGGGGUGGGGAAGUACCACCAGACAAACUCUAUUAAGCCAAUUACUAAACCACCUUGAAUUAUACUCCUUAACAUUAACAGUCUGAACCUAGCUGGAAAAGGUGGCUUAUAUCCCACCACUGGCAACUCUUUUUGCUUGAAUUAUUUUAUUGUUGGAAAAUAUACAUAACACAAAAUUUUACCACUUUUUACCAUUUUCAGCGUAUCAUUCAGUGGCAUUAGGAACUUUCACAAUGUUGUCCAACCAUCAUUACUAUCUGCUCCCAGAAAUUUUUCAUCUUCCCCAGCUGAAACUCUGAACCCGUUAAAGAAUAACUCCCCAUCCACUCUCCUCCCAGCCCCUGGUAAUCUCUGUUCUACUUUCCAUCUCUAUGAAUCUAUUCUAGGAACUUCAUACAAGUGGAAUCCUACGGUACUUGUCCUCUGACUUAUUUCACUCAGCAUGAUGUCUUCCGGGUCCAUACAUGCGGUAGUAUCUAGCAGACUUUUAUUCCUUUUUAAUGUUGAAUAAUCUCCUGCAGGAUGUACACACCACAUUUUCUUCAUCCAUUCACAUCCAUCAGUGGACACUGGGUUGUUUCCAUCUUCUCACUAUUGUGAAUAACACUGCUAUGAAAAUUGCUGUACACACUGGUGUGUUUUAGUAGGAGCCUACAAAACCCCAAUAACCAGAAAUUGCACAGUGGGAGAAACAGGUUUAAAGUCUCCCCUAAAUUCGUGGUUAUAAACUUGGCCACCCAUUAGAAGCACCUGGGAUGUUUUAAAAAAUUCCCCAUUCUCAGUCGGUUGUGCAUCCGACUUCGGCUCAGGUCAUGAUCUCGCAGUUUGUGAGUUUGAGCCCCGCGUCGGGCUCUGUGCGGACAGCUCGGAGCCUGGAGCCCGCUUCGGAUUCUGUGUCUCCCUCUCUCUCUGCCCCUCCCCUGCUUGUGCUCUGUCUCUCUCUGUCUCUCAAAAAUGAAUAAAUGUAAAAAAAAAAAUUAAAAAACAAAAUUCCCAAUGCCCAUACUGCACUCCAGACUGAUAUCAGAUUGCCUGGAAAUGGGACCCAGGAUCAGUAUCUUGUGUAAAUCUUACCAGUUGAUACUAAUGUGCAGCCAAGCUUGAGAACCAGUGCCCUGAACAGUAUAUUGGUAAACAUAGCUUCACCUCAAGCUCGUUUCCCUUCCCUAUAAUCUCUAAAUCAUACUUAGGCUUUCCUAGACCUUCAAAUCCAAUUUAGCUGAAUUAACUUCAUUUUUGUAUUUUCAAGAUCUGCUAAGCCAAAGCAUUUCACUUUGUAAUUUAAGUGUGAAGGGCGCCUGGCUGGCUCAGUCAGUAGAGCAUGCAACUCUUGAUCUCAGGGUUAUGAGUUCAACCCCCACGUUGGGCGUGGAGCCUACUUUCAAUUAAUAAUUAAUUCAUUAAUUAACAAUAUAAUUUAAGUCUGAAUGGGAGGGAAAUCUCAGAUCUACCUAUCAUUAUUAAAGGAAUGUUUGCUCCUAUCGGAGACAAGAUGAAUAUAUUCAAAUAUGUUUUAAAAACACUUACGCAAUUUGAUCCAAUAAUGAAACCCUAGACACAUCCUCUUUAACUUCAGGACUCAAGGUGUAUUCCCACUGACACAAUGAGUCAAUAUUGCUUUGGAAAUUCCGUGUUAAUAUAAUGAAACAUGAAAAGAGAAAAGCACCGUUAUUCAUAUGUGAUGUAGGUGAUAUUCCUAGAAAAUCCAAAGGAAUCAGCUGGAAAAUAUCCUGGAGAUAUAAAAAUAGGUAAAUGGCAAUAAAAAAAAGAUAAAAGUCAAUAGGAUCCUUGUAUGACCAGUAAGAGACCAAUAAGAGAUCUAAUCUAUAACAGUCACAAAAAUAUAAAAUACUUCAAACAACAAAAGAUGUAGUAUAUAUUCGUGUAGUUAUAAACCAUAUUGGGGAGUGCCUCAGAGAUUGGCCUGUAAACCAGGCUGCCACCCUUAGUGGCUGUGGAAACUGGGAAUUUAACCUCUCUGUGAUUUAGUUUAUCUAUCUGUAACAUUGAGAUAACAAUAGUGCCUCCCUCACAGAGCUGGGAAAAUUACAAGUUGAAAAUGUAGAGUGCUUAAAACAGUCCCUGCUACAUACUAAGUAUCCUUUCAGUGUUAGCUUUUAACUUUAUUACUGGGAGUCUUUUGAAAAAGGAAUUGAAUAGAUGGAGACCUGUAACUUUUUUUUUUUUUUUUGAGAGACAGCGAGAGCCUGAACAGGAGCACAAGCAGGGGAGGGGCAGAGAGAAAGGGAGAGGGAGAAUCCCAAGCAGGCAGCGUGCUGUCAGCACAGAGCUUGAGGGAGGCAGAAUUGUUCCCAUGAGCCAUGAGAUCAUGACCUGAGUGGAGAUCAAGUCCGAUGCUUAACCAGCUGAGCCGCCAGGUGCUCCGCACAGCAUAUUCUUAGAGUGAGUUUACAGGAAUAAAGGAUGGAGGGAGACAGAAAAUAAAUAAACAUCGGAUGACCGGUAUGUAAGAAAUAGGUUCUGAAACUUGAUGCUAAAUAUUUUUAUGUCUGUUUUCCCUCUUGAAUUUAUCACUGCAUAAUGUGUAUAAAUUAUGCAAUUUUUAUUUUCCUGCAAGCCCAAUUGAAUAUAUAGAGAAUGCUAAAUAUAAAGAGAAAAUUUAUUUUGUUUAUUUUUUUAUUUUUUUAAAAAUUUAUUUUUUUUUAUUAAAUUUUUUUAACGUUUAUUUAUUUUUGAGACAGAGAGAGACAGAGCAUGAAUGGGGGAGGGUCAGAGAGAGAGGGAGACACAGAAUCUGAAACAGGUUCCAGGCUGUGAGCUGUCAGCACAGAGCCUGAUGUGGGGCUCGAACUCACAGACCGCGAGAUCAUGACCUGAGCCGAAGUCGGCCGCCCAACCGACUGAGCCACCCAGGUGCCCUGAAAAUUUAUUUUUUAAUUCACAUGGAUUAGAAUAUAAAAGAAUGCCCAGAGGAGUGGAGGGCUAUUAUCAGCUUUUACAACCUAUUAUGGAGCCAUUUCAGAAUAGCAGUGGUAUAGCAGAAGUCUGCUUCAGUGAAAAAGAAUCCAGAAAGAGAUGCAGCUCCAAUUUAAACUUUUUUAAAGUUUAUUUAUUUAUUUAUUUAUUUACUUAUUUAUUUUUGUAAUAUUAUUUUUAAUGUUUAUUUACUUUUGAGAGAGAGAGAGAGAGAGCAAAUGGAGGAGGGGCAGAGAGAGAAGGAGACCCAGAAUCCGAAGCAGGUUCAAGGCUCUGAGCGCUCAGCACAGAGCCCGACGCUGCGCUCGAACCCAUGGACCACGAGAUCAUGACCUGAGCUGAAGUCGGACGCUUAAUGGACUGAGCCACCCAGGUGCCCCAUCACAGCUCCAAUUUAAGAGAGAAACAGAAAACCUGGUUGUAUAAGAUUUUUCAAAAUCACAAAGGUAAGGAAAACUAAUGAAUAUAUUUUGAUAACUGAUUCAAAAUUUGAAAACAAAUAGCCUAUAGGUAAGAAAUUAAAUAUAAAAGCUUAAAUUUAUGGAGAAUUCUUAGUAGACAAUUUUUGAAACACAUCUGUGGAAGAAAAGUCCAUUUCUCUCUGCUUUGAAGAACUCAACAGAAAGAGCUGGAAUAUCUGAAUAUCUAUUACAACUUUAAAUAUCUAUAAAAUGGAAAAAGAAAAGCACAAUAGCAGAACGGGAGGUUUGAAAAUCAAGUUUGACACAAAGUUAAUCCCUCACUUCUCUUUAUCUCCACUUCUACAAUCCUGGCUAUAGAAUCUCUUGCCUCGGCCUCUGAAAUAACCCUUCCUCCAGCUGGUGUCUCUGCUGCCUCCUUUCUCGGCAAGACAGGCUGGGUGAUCCUUAUAAUUUUUUUUUUUAUUUUGUUACUUUUUAAAUGUCUAUUUAUUUUUGAGACAGAGUGCAUGCACCAGUGGGGGAGAGGCGGAGAGAGAGAGGGAGACAGAGGAUCCAAAGCCGGCUCUGCGCCGACAGCAGAGAACCUGAUGCGGGGCUCGAACUCACAAACCCUGAGAUCAUGACCUGAGCUGAAGUCGGGUGCUCAACUGACUGGGCCACCCAGGUGCCCCCUGAGCGAUCCUUUUUAAAGGAUCAUUGCUUUUCUGAAGCACUUAAAUAAAAGUCACAACCCCUAGUCAGGCUGACACGGCACAUGACCACUCUACCUUCUCCUACCUAGUUUCAGUGGCUGAACUGUCCCACUUGAAUCUUUAUACCAGCUGUUUCCUCUGCCUGGAAUACUCUUCCUGGCCCCCAUCUCCAUAAGGCUGGAUCCUUUUUGUCCUUUGGACCUCAGCUUAAAUUUUUCUUUCUCCACAAAACCUUAUCUGAGACCCCAGCUUAAAGUAAUAAUGAAACUAACAUUUAUAAAUUAUUCUUCUAUAUGUCAGGCAUUUUCUGACACUUUGUGUGCAAAGCUCAUACUAUCUCACAAAAACCCAGUGAGAUAGUUUAUUAUUUGUCAAAAAGAGCGUUUAUUAUUACUUAUUUAUAAUAGCCUCUUACGCUUUUAUGCUUUCUUGCCAGAUGCCUUCGGAACAGGUGCUUUCUGACCCUUCAGAGCCUUUGGAGGCACUGCCUUCUGGCCUGCAGCGUUCAGGACAGGAACAUUCUAGGCUGGAAGCUUCUUGCCCACAGCAGCCAUCUUUUUUGCUGGCACCCUUGCAGCAGCUGCUGAAGCCGCACCCUUAGCAGCAACUGCUUUUUUGGGGAGAAGCUUUCAGGAGAGUUGCUUUUUGUAGCUUCCUAACUUCCAGCUUGGUUAUUCUGUUCCUCAUUUUCUUUGCCUUCAUGACUUUGUAAUGAUCAGAAUCUGUCAUCUUGGCUUUCCUUUCUCUGGUUUCAACUUUCUUGGCCCAUCUCGUGGCUGCCCCUGUUUGGUAUCUGCCUUCUGCCAGGCUUGUCAGACAUACUUCUGGCAGGCACUGUGAGGGAACUUGACGACACAGUCAGUGAGCGGCAUGCACUUGAAAGGCACAGCCUGUCUCCUCACCUGACACAAAGGUCCAUCAGCCAAAGCCCUGUUCUGGUCAAUACCAUCUACGAUCAUGAACAGCUUCCCAGCGUGAGGCCCGAGGGAGACGUGGGCCACCCUGGCCAAUCUCCAUGAAACGCUGUGCUGGCGGCAUUCGGCGAGAAGCUGGAUUUUAUUUUUAUUAUCGUUCCCAUCUUAUAGUAAGGAAACUGAAUCCCCAGCAAAGGUAUGCAAAGAUCCCGAUAUAACUGAAAGACUAGCUUGUCGCAGAUUUCACUUAAUUGCCCUGCUGGGUAUAAGGUAGCCUGCCAACUACUCAUAAUCACAUCACUCUGUUUUUAUUUUUACUUUUUUGAAGUGUGAUUUGUUUGUUUGUUUUUCUUCUCUUGAUCGAAUGUGAGCCUUAAUUCUGUUUUGUUCACUGCCGUGUGUUCUGGACCUAAAACAAUGGCUAGCACAUACUCAACUACCGUUUGUUGAAUGAAUGGAUGAGUAAAUAAGCAGAUAAUUAGGAAAUUGCUGAACUUGAUGAAGAAAACAUACAGGAUUACGAAAGGACAAAAGGAUCGUUUUAAAAUUCUCGUUCAAACGUUUACUCUGAAAAAAAAAAAAAAGCCCACCUUUUUACUCUGAAUUAUAGAUUCACAGAAAGUUGCAAAAAUAUUCCCCCACAUUCCCCCAGUAGCAAAACUAUAAUAUCAAAACCAGGAAAUUAACAUUGGUGGGCGCCUGGGUGGCUCAGUCUGUUGAGUGUCUGACUUCUGCUCAGGUCAUGAUCUCACAGCUCGUGUGUUGGAGCCCCAAGUCAGACUCUGUGCUGACAGCUCAGAGCCUGGAGCCUGCCUCAGGUUCUGUGUCUCCCUUUCUCUCUGCCUCUCCGCUUGCAUGCCUUGCAUGCCUCUCUCUGCCUUGUGGCUUGCAUGCUCACUCUCUUAAAAAUAAAUAUUAAAAAAAAUUUAGAAAAAAGAAAAUUAACAUUGGUAUAUGCAUGACAGUGUUCCAUGGUUUUGUGUGUUUUGUCAUGUGUAGAUUCAUGUAACCACCGUCACAAGCAAGACACGGAAUUAUGUCACCACAAGGAUCUUCUUCAAACAUAGAUUAUUUUGAAAAUAUAAUAAUAUUUGGAAAAAUUUGGAAAUUUUGGAAAAUUGAGAAAAUCCACAUUUUCCUUAACAAUUUUUUUUUAAUUUUUUCAUUGUUUAUUAUUUUUGAGGGAGAGAGAGACAGAGAGCAAGCAGGGAAGGGGCAGAGAGAGAGGGAGACACAGAAUCGGGAACAGGCUCCAGGCUCUGAGCACUCAGGACAGAGCCUGACGCGGGGCUCAAACUCAGACUGCAAGAUCAUUACCUGAGCUGUGGUCGGCCGCCCAACUGACUGAACCACCCAGGCGCCCCAACAAUUAUUUUUAUUAUACAUGUUUUCCCACAGUUGUUAUUACUUUGUGCUAUAAUUUUUUUUAAUGCUCAAUGGACAUCCUCUUAAUCUUUGAUUUUUGCAGAUCUCUUGGUUUGCAAGUUACAUUCUACAAAAUUGUUGCAAGGUAAUAAUGCAACUGUUCCUCCUGAAAUAUUCCUUUGCAGGAGUGCUGGUUAAGACUGCUACAUUUAAAUACUCUAUCUUCUAUAAAGUCACAAUGUAAUCAUCACAAUAAAAAGUAUUUGUUCCCCAGUCUUCCAUCUGUAUAACACAGAAUUGAGUGAGGAACUGACUUCAUUUCCUUUAAGUAAUUUAAGUGGUUUUCUUGAUCACUUUCAUUUUGUACUUAGAUUAUCUAGAUCCCAAUGAUGGAUCAACUUUUAAAGAGGUUAUCUAUAUACCUAUUCAUUUAUGAUAUAUAUAUGUACGUGUGUGUGUAUACCUGUUCAUAUAUGAUAAAAUAGUUCAUUGUUACCGGAAAAAAAAAUAGACUGAUGUGAAAAGCUGGGGUUCAGGAGUGAGUGGUCAAGAAAGAAUUCUUGAGACAUCUUUGGUGCAAAAAGUUGGUCUUCCUAAAGGGGACAGGACCUGUGGGCAGAAAGAGCUGCACUGGGGAUGUGAGGAGUGGCUGAUUACACACUUUUAAGUCAGGAGGGGGUUAGGGAUCGCAUAAGUCUCUAAGGAAUUUGGAAGCAAGGUUUCCAGGACCUUGAGGGGCUGGGUGUUGUUGGGAAAAGGUAAUUUAUUACUGUAGCAAAACCUUAGUCAUGAGACCCUUCAGAUGUGUAUCAGUGGGCCAUAUACAUAUACAUGUACAUGGAGGACGAUUGCUAACAUAUAUCUUGGUGGGGUGGGUAGAGUUAAAGGAAGUUUCUAAAGGGAUUUUUUUUUACAUGAUCCUGGAGGUUGGGCUAAUGUCAAGCUAAAGUUGCCUUUUUCCUCUAGCAAAGUAUUAACAUUGAGGCAGUUUAGCCCCUUGAGGAAGGUCACUCUGCCUGUCCCAAGUACUUAUCAAUGGGCUGCAAGUUAUAAGGAAGUUUAAUUUUUUCUGUAUUUCUUUUGCCUUUGUUCUCCACAUCACAGAGGAGUUGAAGAAAUCAGUAUGAACUAAUUUAUUUUACUAUGUCUAGACAUAGAAAUAUAGGUACCAACGCAUAUACAUGGAUUCAUGGACACAGAUUUUCUAGCUAUGUCCAUCAAGGGUGGGCACCCUAAUAGCAGUGGCAAUGAGCAUACCUUGUACCCUGCUUUUGGUUUCUCAAUAACAUUAUCAGGAAAAGGAACCAUGGUUCCUUGGAAUAUGAUGGGUCCUGAGGCUGGGCAGGAAAACCAUAAGGUGAGGCUGGAGCAUCUUGAUGCUCCAGGAAGGAAGUGUGAAACAUAAAACAAAACAAAGGACGGGAGUAUGUCAAAAGGAUGUGGGAGCCAACUUGAAAGAGCUCUCAGAGGACAUAGCUGGGACAAUUUGAGCAAUAGUAAAAAUGACAGUGCUGCAUUACAACCAAAGAACAAUGUAUAUAUCCAAGAGUCCAUAGUGAUAAAAAUGACUGAAAUAAAUCUUACUUGCAGUAGAAUUUCAAUUAAUAAACAGAGAAGUAGAAAACCACCACGUAAAGGCCACAAUGAUAAUUGCAGUGGCAUGAUCUACUGUUAAUGCUACAAUUUUGACAGUUCAACUUUAAAAAGAAACAGGGCAUUUGCACAAUACUUCGAUUUUGAUGUUUUCAAUUCAGGCUACCAAAACUUCUAAAAUGCUAUCAAUUUGCAAACAAAACACUUAAGAACAAGGUCUUUUGGAGAGCCACCUUAGUCCUAUUUGUAGAUUUAAGACAUUGAAAUCAUUCACCACUGUAACAAUCAUUUGGAGGAUUAGUGUUAAUACUAAAAGAAUUGAUUACAAUGGCUCUUGAUUUGUGGCAUCUUUGAGUCUCAGUAAAUGUUGAUAAAUAAUUCAGUGAAUUGCUAAAACAUCUGGUGAGCCUUCUGAGUUGGCUAAUAAAUAAUGAACUCUUUUCCCAACCAAUGUAUUGUGUUCGGCUGAAUAAUGGAUAUUUUCCCUGUAAGUUUCACAUAUCAAAAAUGUCUUUGGGUCCAUCAUUAGUAAACUUGAAACUAUUUUCUAGAACUGUCCAUCCCCUACAAACUUUAAAUAUGGAAGCAGGAAAGCCUAUCUUCUAACCCAAUAAUGUGGGGCUUAACAUAUUUCAGAACCAUUCAUGCUAUUUGAUAAGACUAUCUUUCCAACAGACAUUUUCUAUCAUGCCAAUGACCGCACUCUCCUUUCACUUAGUCAUUGGCAUUGUGGAAUACGCGUUUAAUAAAUACGUUUGUAUGUACGUAUGAGGUUUCGGAUGUACCUGACUACUUGAAGGGAACAAAGCGAGCCAGAACAAGAACUCCAACUUUUAUAAUCAACUUUAUUCAAAAGUUUUCAAAUUUACACCUGACAAAAGUCAAUGCAAAAGUUCAAAUCUGCCAGAGGCUCAUAUUGGCUACAGGUGAACCCAAUCUUACAUUUAGUUAAGCAAUGCCCGUGGUCAACUGUGAGGGCUUUGCAUGCAUUCUUUCACGUGAUUCCACAAAUACACCUGUCUUUGUGAAGCUUACAUUCUGGCAGGGAGCAGACAGCAGGCACACAAGCAAACAAAUACUCUAGCUUUGUCUUAAACCUCUUAAACACUGACUAUGAACACUGAAUCCAAGGGCCAGUGGCUAUCAACCUUCUAUUAUGAAAUUAGUAACAGACUCAUUUUUAUGGCCAAAAAAGGGAAGUAAGCAGUACUGGCCCUACCCACCCUUACUGUUUAAUUCCAUUUUACAGAAGAAAAUUGAGGUGACUAUGAAUCUAGAUUUCUUUUCCUCAUAUCUUCCCUUGACGGCUUAACACUUGUGCCCCUCUAACACAGCACCCCGCAUCCGUCAUCUGCCUUAUGAUCCACACACCACACCGGAUGCUGAGCCCUGCAUGCUCAUCUUCCAGCGGCUUCUCUCGUUUCAAUGCCAAGAGUUCAGCCACAUUUUGCUUAACACACACAGGGAAGGAACUGUUAUUACACAGCUCUGUCCCACUGGACUAGGCUGUUUCUUCAAUCUUUUGCCAACACUACUAUGAGCAAUAAACCCACUUCUAAGAUGUACCCAGAAUUACUGGGUUUAUGUUGCAUAACUUGUAAGAAUUAUUUUCUAUGAAAAAGUUGUCAAUUUGCUAAAAUGUUCAUCAGUUUGUUUAUAUUCAACUUUUUUUUUUAUUUUUUAUUUU